rnacentral:rRNA from 1 species
GACUCUUGGAAAUGGAUAUCUCGGCUCUCGCAUCGAUGAAGAACGUAGCAAAAUGCGAUACUUGGUGUGAAUUGCAGAAUCCCGUGAACCAUCGAGUCUUUGAACGCAAGAUGUGCUCCAAGCCUUCUGGCCGAGGGCACGUCUGCCUGGGUGUCA